rnacentral:rRNA from 1 species
GACGAACGCUGGCGGCGUGCCUAAUACAUGCAAGUCGAACGCAUUUUCUUUCACCGUAUCUUGCUACACCGAGAGAAUAUCAGUGGCGAACGGGUUAGUAACACGUGUGUAACUUGCCCAUCAACGGGGUAUAACACCUUGAAACAGGUGCUAAUACCGCCUAAUUCCAUUUACCGCAUGGUUUAUAGCUUAACGGCGCUUUUUCGUCACUUAUGGAUUUACCCGCGGUGCAUUGUCUAGUUGGGGGGGUAAAGGGCUACCAAGGCUGAGAUGCAUAACCGAGCUGGGAAGGUGGUGGGCCACACUGGGAAUGGGACACGGCCCAGAAUCCUACGGGAGGCAGCAGGAGGGAAACAUCGGAAAUGGACGGAAGUCUGAACGAGCAAAGACGCGUGAGUGAAGAAGGGUUUCGGAUCGUAAAACUCGGUUGUUGGAGAAGAAAAAGGAUGAGAGUGGAAAGUUCAUCCCUUGACGGUAUCUAAACAGAAAGCAACGGCUAACUACGUG